GGCUGGUCCGAGUGCAGUGGUGUUUACAACUAAUUGAUUACAACCAGUUACAGAUUUCCUUGUUCCUUCUGCAUUCCCACUGCUUCGCUUGACUAGCGUUUU
ensembl:Y_RNA Y_RNA Y RNA